AACGAACGCUGGCGGCAUGCCUAACACAUGCAAGUCGAACGAGAUCUUCGGGUCUAGUGGCGCACGGGUGCGUAACGCGUGGGAAUCUGCCCUUUGGUUCGGAAUAACAGUUGGAAACGACUGCUAGUACCGGAUGAUGACGAAAGUCCAAAGAUUUAUCGCCAGAGGAUGAGCCCGCGUAGGAUUAGCUAGUUGGUGUGGUAAAGGCGCACCAAGGCGACGAUCCUUAGCUGGUCUGAGAGGAUGAUCAGCCACACUGGGACUGAGACACGGCCCAGACUCCUACGGGAGGCAGCAGUGGGGAAUAUUGGACAAUGGGCGAAAGCCUGAUCCAGCAAUGCCGCGUGAGUGAUGAAGGCCUUAGGGUUGCAAAGCUCUUUUACCCGGGAUGAUAAUGACAGUACCGGGAGAAUAAGCUCCGGCUAACUCCGUGCCAGCCGCCGCAGUAA
rnacentral:rRNA from 1 species